rnacentral:lncRNA from 1 species
CUCCAAACAACUCUCAUGGAGUCUGAGUUCUUCGAAAUGAUGAAAGGCAGCCUGCGUAAGAGAUGUAUGCAGCUGCUGUCACUGCCUUCGCUGUCCAUCCCCUGCUGCUGAUACAAUGAUCCCUCUCUAGCUUCCAGGCUCAGAGCCAGCCUAGGCACUGCCUCCCGCUGUGCUGUCCUACUGCUUCCGGGAUCCUGCAUCAUUGCCCUCAUUGUAUGUGACUACGCUGAUUGUCUGAUUAUCACACGGAAUACAGAACCUACCCAAGGCUUGGCAUCAGUAAAGCUUGGAAUUAAGUGAGGUCUGUCUAAUUCCAAAGCUCAGGCUCUUUCAACGGCCACAGCUGAUCAAUCACCCCAUGAUUAAAAAUAACUCACUAUCCAAAGCCCGCA